GCUGUCACAGACUGUUGCUUCCUUGGGCUCUUGGCUGAGUGUACGAGUUGACGUGAGUUCAUGUUUAAAUGUAUUGUGAGAUCAAACCUCGUUGGCAUAUGUGAUUUUGAUUCAGACGAUUACAUUGUUUCAUAGCCUCAUCUGGUGUUUGUGCGAUUACCCAGUGCCGUGGGUGCUGCUAGUGUCCUGUCUUUGCGAGCCCUCAUCGGCUGCGAUUUGUGUUGGCGUGCUUCAACGAGGACUUCCGGGUUUAGAGUGAUAACUACAAGUUUGCCGAGUGCGUUUGUUGUGCCGAGAACGUAAGUUUAUUGGCUUCCUUUCUCCCUCACGUUUGUACAUCUUCAUGGAACGUUUAUGUAUGUAGUUCUGUUGAUUUGCAAUGUUUCUUUAUUAUAGUUUGGUUUGGGAAUGUUCAAGUAAAAACCAGACGGAGUAAAGUGACUGCUACAGUAUUAUAAAUAACCAAGCUUUUGGCUUGAUGCUGUGGUCUGUUCAUACAGGAGGAGCGACAUAUGCUGUCCUGGCCACUGUUUUUCCUGUGCUCUUGUUUUUAGGAUUCAGCUCCGUGUGUGUGUGUGUGUGCGUGUACGUG